CGUCUAUAUACGUAUAGCAUAUCAAUAAGCGGAGGAAAAGAAACUAACUAGGAUUCCCUCAGUAACGGCGAGUGAAGCGGGAAGAGCUCAAAUUUGAAAUCUUCAAGGUUUUACCUUGACGAAUUGUAGUUUAAAGAAGUGUUUUCUGUUGGAAUUUUGGUAAAAGUUCUUUGGAAAAAGACAUCAAAGAGGGUGAGAAUCCCGUAUUUGACCAUUAUUUCCAGCUUUGUGAUACACUUUCAAAGAGUCGGAUUGUUUGGGAAUGCAGUCCAAAAUGGGUGGUAAAUUUCAUCUAAAGCUAAAUACUGGCGAGAGACCGAUAGCGAACAAGUACCGUGAGGGAAAGAUGAAAAGAACUUUGAAAAGAGAGUUAAACAGUACGUGAAAUUGUCAAAAGGGAAGCGUUUGACACCAGUGUUGUUUUCUCGAAAAUCAAUUAAAAAUGGUGGGAUUUUGUGUUGUAUUGACUUUAUCAGCUUUCUGCACUUUUUUCCUAUCUUUUUUAAUGCACUUUUCGUUUAACAAGUCAACAUCAAUUUCUUUUGUUGUAAAAGAGUCAUUGGAAGGUGGCUUUCUUUUCGGAGAAAGUGUUUAUAGCCUUUGACUUCUGCAAUCGGAGAGAUUGAGGUCUGCAGCGUAGAUCCUUCGGGGUUAGAUAGCAUUUGUGCUAAGUUAUAGCCUUUCAUAGACAACUUGUUGACUAUGAUCAGUCAUGUAGCUUACUCGCUUAUGCUAUUUUACCUACGCUUUAGGAUGUUGAUCUGUAGUGCGUGCGC
rnacentral:rRNA from 1 species